UACGUAGGUGACAAGCGUUAUCCGGAUUUACUGGGUGUAAAGGGCGUGUAGGCGGGUUUGCAAGUCAGAUGUGAAAUCCCGGGGCUUAACUCCGGAGCUGCAUCUGAAACUGCAUAUCUUGAGUAUCGGAGAGGAAAGUGGAAUUCCCAGUGUAGCGGUGAAAUGCGUAGAGAUUGGGAGGAACACCAGUGGCGAAGGCGGCUUUCUGGACGAUAACUGACGCUGAGGCGCGAAAGCGUGGGGAGCAAAC
rnacentral:rRNA from 1 species